rnacentral:lncRNA from 1 species
UCUUUCUUUCUAUCAAGUCCGGUCGGGCCCUCUUCAGAUCCGAAUUCCGUCGUGCAAAAAGUGAGACAAAUUGGAAAGUAAACAGCAAUAAUGUGCAGACUGCCCAUCCUCGUUGGCAGAUACUGGAAUCUGCCAUGAAUCUAGAUCGACGGGACUAGGUAAAGAUUUUAAUCCUUAAUUUGUGCAUCGAAAUUAAGAAUUUUUUUUUUAAUACAGCUUGGCUAGUUAAUAAUUACUGAGCGUUUGAAUCAGGGAAUUAAGGAUCAAAUGUCUAUGAAAUCCGUUCUCCAAUGCAUUUGAAAUGAUAAAAAAAUGAAAAGGGAAUAUCUCCGUCACGUUCUC